CUCAUGGUUUCACGGUAUUGCAAUGAGAACAAUUUAAAACCCUUAGCGAGAAUCAAGUGGAGGACAAGUCUGGUGCCAGCACCCGCGGUAAUUCCAGCUCCACUAGCGUAUAUUAAAGUUGUUGCAGUUAAAAAGCUCGUAGUUGAACCUCUGUCUGGGGCUAGUUUUGGCUUUGGUCAGGCUAGUUCUAGGCAUCCGCCUACAAGACUUAGAGGGCAUUCAGUUGUUCACUAGGAGGAGUAGGCAUUUUACUUUGAAAAAAUUAGAGUGUUUAAGGCAGGCAAUCGCCCGCAUAUAUUAGCAUGGAAUAAUAGAAUAGGACACUUUUCCAUUUCGUUGGUUAUUGGAAUCGUGUAAUGAUUAAUAGGGACAGUUGUGGGCAUUUGUAUUUAAUUGUCAGAGGUGAAAUUCUUGGAUUUAUUAAAGACAAACUAACGCGAAAGCAUUUGCCAAGGAUGUUUUCAUUAAUCAAGAACGGAGGUUAGGGGAUCAAAGACGAUCAGAUACCGUCCUAGUCUUAACUAUAAACUAUUCCGACUCAAUGUUUGACUGGCUUAUAUAACCAGUUGAGCGUUGUAUGAGAAAUCAAAGUCUUUAGGUUCUGGGGGGAGUAUGGUUGCAAAGCUGAAACUUAAAGGAAUUGACGGAAGAGCACAACCAGGAGUGGAUUCUGCGGCUUAAUUUGACUCAACACGGGGAAACUUACCAGGUUAAAACAAUAGUGGGAUUGACAGUUUGAGAGCGCUUUCUUGAUUGGUUGGGUGGUGGUGCAUGGCCGUCCUUAGUUGGUGGAGUGAUUUGUCUGCUUAAUUGCGUUAACGAACGAGACCUUAACCUGCUUACUAGACUGGCGAUCAUCAAUCGUUAGCUCUUCUUAGAGGGACUUUGGUUGUUUUAACUCCAAGGAAGUUUGAGGCAAUAACAGGUCUGUGAUGCCCUUAGAUAUCCUGGGCCGCACGCGUCAUACAAUGACUAGUUCAGAAAGUUUUCUCCUGACCCGAAAGGGGAUGGGUAAUCUUGAUAAUACUAGUCGUGUUAGGGAUCGAUCUUUGCAAUUAUAGAUCUUGAACGAGGAAUUCCUAGUAAGUGCGGUUCAUCAGACCGUACUGAUUACGUCCCUGCUCUUUGUACACACCGCCCGUCGCUUCUACCGAGUGGGUGGUCCGGUGAGAUAAUUGAACUUCGCAGGUA
rnacentral:rRNA from 1 species